UUCACCUUUCUCCCUCUCCUCCCAGAUCCACCCGCCAGCACAUGCGGGUAGUUGUCGUCCCCUCCCUAGCUAGAUCCACCCGCCGGCAAGGACCGAGUGCGCAGAAGGCGCACGGGAGCAGAGAGCAGCGGCCGGCGAGGCUACGGUUGUGCUGGGGCUAACGUCCUUGGAGGGGCCUUUGGCCAUAUUGCUGGACCCGUUUGCAAGGUGAGAAUAGUCAUCCAUGGCUUCAAGGCAAAGAUGAUCAACAGAUGUCCAGAUACUUUGACCUCUUUUUCUUCAAUGUCAAAUGAUGCAACACAACUUUUUGUUGAAACAUAUAUAGCUAUCGUCCUUCAACGUAUGAUAGACUUGUAGACUUAUUUAUCAUGAUAUUUGUAUCAUGUACAUGAAUGGAUGUGUGAUGGCCGGAUUGAUA